UUCGCCCUUAGAGUUUGAUCCUGGCUCAGGACGAACGCUGGCGGCGUGCCUAACACAUGCAAGUCGAGCGAUGAAAAAGAAGUAGAUCUCUUCGGAGUGACGCCUCUUUGGAUUAGCGGCGGACGGGUGAGUAACACGUGAGCAACCUGCCGUACACAUUGGGAUAGCCUCGGGAAACUGGGAUUAAUACCAAACGAAACAUAUUGAUAGCAUUAUCAAAAUGUCAAAGAUUUAUCGGUGUACGAUGGGCUCGCGUCUGAUUAGCUAGUUGGUGAGAUAAAAGCUCACCAAGGCAAUGAUCAGUAGCCGGCCUGAGAGGGUGAUCGGCCACAUUGGGACUGAGACACGGCCCAAACUCCUACGGGAGGCAGCAGUGGGGAAUAUUGCACAAUGGAGGGAACUCUGAUGCAGCGACGCCGCGUGAGCGAAGAAGGAAUUCGUUUCGUAAAGCUCUGUCCUAUGGGAAGAUAAUGACGGUACCAUAGAAGAAAGCCCCGGCUAACUACGUGCCAGCAGCCGCGGUAAUACGUAGGGGGCGAGCGUUGUCCGGAAUUAUUGGGCGUAAAGGGUUCGUAGGCGGUAAUACAUGUCAGAUGUGAAAUCUUGUGGCUUAACCACAUCAAGCAUCUGAAACUGUAUAACUUGAGUGGAGGAGAGGUAAGUGGAAUUCCUAGUGUAGCGGUGAAAUGCGUAGAUAUUAGGAAGAAUACCAGUAGCGAAGGCGACUUACUGGCCUCUAACUGACGCUGAUGAACGAAAGCGUGGGUAGCAAACAGGAUUAGAUACCCUGGUAGUCCACGCCGUAAACGAUGAGUGGUAGGUGUCGGGAGUUCAAAUCUCGGGUGCCGUAGUUAAAGCAAUAAGCACUCCGCCUGGGGAGUACGUGCGCAAGCAUGAAACUCAAAGGAAUAGACGGGGACCCGCACAAGCAGCGGAGCAUGUGGUUUAAUUCGAAGCAACGCGAAGAACCUUACCAGGACUUGACAUCUCUUGAAUUACUCUGUAAUGGAGGAAGCCGCUUCGGCGGCAGGAAGACAGGUGGUGCAUGGUUGUCGUCAGCUCGUGUCGUGAGAUGUUGGGUUAAGUCCCGCAACGAGCGCAACCCCUAUUGUUAGUUGCUACCAUUUAGUUGAGCACUCUAGCGAGACUGCCCGGGUUAACCGGGAGGAAGGUGGGGAGGACGUCAAAUCAUCAUGCCCCCUAUGCUUAGGGCUACACACGUGCUACAAUGGGUGGUACAGAGGGCAGCCAAGUUGUGAGGCCGAGCUAAUCCCUUAAAGCCAUUCUCAGUUCGGAUUGUAGGCUGAAACUCGCCUACAUGAAGCUGGAGUUACUAGUAAUCGCAGAUCAGAAUGCUGCGGUGAAUGAGUUCCCGGGUCUUGCACACACCGCCCGUCA
rnacentral:rRNA from 1 species